GGUGGAUUUAUUAGAACAGAACCAACCGGCGGUGACUUCGGUUGCUGUCGUUGCAUUCUGUGAUGACUCUGGAUAACUUUACUGAUCGCAGUCGGCCUUGUGUCGGCGACGGAUCUUUCAAAUGUCUGCCCUAUCAAUUUUCGAUGGUAGGUGACCUGCCUACCAUGGUGAUAACGGGUAACGGGGAAUCAGGGUUCGAUUCCGGAGAGGGAGCCUGAGAAACGGCUACCACUUCCAAGGAAGGCAGCAGGCGCGCAAAUUACCCAAUCCCGGCACGGGAGGUAGUGACGAAAAAUACGGAUACGGGACUCAUUAGAGGCUCCGUAAUUCGAAUGAGUACAAUUUAAAUCCUUUAACGAGGAUCAACUGGAGGGCAAGUCUGGUGCCAGCAGCCGCGGUAACUCCAGCUCCAGAAGCGUAUAUUAAAGUUGUUGCAGUUAAAAAGCUCGUAGUUGGAUCUGGGUCGCAUGGCUACAUGCCGUUGCUCGUAUUCCUGGCCUGGUUCACACCGGGACGGGUUUGUGAGUCGGUGUCGUGGUUGUGCAGCCUUUCUGCCGUGUCUGUUUCGACAGGUGUUAGCAUGAUUGGUGGGUUCGUCCUGCUGAUCUGUUGACAUGCUUCCAGGUGCCCUUAACCGGGUGUCGGGGGCGGACGGCACGUUUACUUUGAACAAAUUUGAGUGCUCAAAGCAGGCCCGUGUGCCUGAAAAUUCUUGCAUGGAAUAAUGGAAUAGGACUUCGGUUCUAUUUUGUUGGUUUUCGGAUCCGAAGUAAUGGUUAAAAGGGACAGACGGGGGCAUUUGUAUGGCGGUGUUAGAGGUGAAAUUCUUGGAUCACCGCCAGACAAACUACAGCGAAAGCAUUUGCCAAGGAUGUUUUCAUUGAUCUGGAGCGAAAGUCAGAGGUUCGAAGACGAUCAGAUACCGUCCUAGUUCUGACCAUAAACGAUGCCAACUGACGAUCCGUGGUGGCGCGAUUAUUGGCCCCGCGGGCAGCCCCCGGGAAACCUUUAAGUCUUUGGGCUCCGGGGGAAGUAUGGUUGCAAAGCUGAAACUUAAAUGAAUUGACGGA
rnacentral:rRNA from 1 species